UUGUAUUUCCAGUGAUGAGUCCCAGAGACUGGAAGGCAAGCCUGUGUGUAGCUGACCUUUCCAAGAAGAGGCAGAAAACCAUAUUUUGUCUUUGGGGGGAAAAGAAGCGAUAGUUAAAGUGUCUUUGUGCAUCCUGAAGAAAUAAGUGAGAUAUAAAAAACACCUAAAAAAUAAAAAUGGGUGAACUGGACCAUGGAACAUCGUUUUCAACUCCUAGGAUGAGUGAUGGAGAAAAUCCAGUGAUUCCUGCAAGAAAUGCUCUUUGCAGCCAGAAGUACAAACCUGUUGACUACAAACAUCUGUAUGAACUUGCUGCAGAGGCAAAAAUGGCCUCUGAAAAAACUCAGUUAAAGAUUAAAAAAACAGAGCAAGUUUCAAAAAUUAACAAAGAGCAAAUGCUGCUGAAACAGCACCGGCAGGUGUGGUGGCAAGAGCACAAGAGGCUGAGCCAGAGCAGGUAAGAGCUGAGGAGCCUGAAGGAG